rnacentral:rRNA from 1 species
ACUCAGAGUAGUUUGAUCCGUGGCUCAGAUUGAACGCUGGCGGCAUGCUUUACACAUGCAAGUCGAGCGGCAGCGGCGGGGGCAACCCUGGCGGCGAGCGGCGAACGGGUGAGUAAUGCAGUCGGAACGUGUCCCGUAGGCGGGGGAUAACCCGGCGAAAGCCGGGCUAAUACCGCAUAUGCUCUACGGAGGAAAGGGGGGGAUCCGCAAGGACCUCUCGCUAUGGGAGCGGCCGAUGUCCGAUUAGCUUGUUGGUGGGGUAAUGGCUUACCAAGGCGACGAUCGGUAGCUGGUCUGAGAGGAUGAUCAGCCACACUGGGACUGAGACACGGCCCAGACUCCUACGGGAGGCAGCAGUGGGGAAUUUUGGACAAUGGGGCAACCCUGAUCCAGCCAUGCCGCGUGCGGGAAGAAGGCCUUCGGGUUGUAAACCGCUUUUAGUCGGGAAGAAAAGGCCUGGGCGAAUACCCUGGGUUUUUGACGGUACCGGCGGAAUAAGCACCGGCUAACUACGUG